rnacentral:rRNA from 1 species
UUGCUUGAAGAAAAGUUGCUCAAAGUUGAUGAUUUGGCUAGGAACGUUGAUAGACUUUCGCUUGAUGUUGAUUCUCUUAAACUUAGAUCUACUCCUCCUAAGCAUGAUAUCAAUGAGUCUCUCAAAGCCAUGAGAAUUUCCAUUGAUGAGUUCAAGGAAAGAACCGCUAGAUUGCAUGCUAAGAAAGAUUGCUUUGUAAAGGUGUGUUCUUCUAGUUUCCAUGAGAAUAAUGAUGAAGAUCUUAAAGUUAUUGAUGUGUCUCCUAUUAGAUCUUUGUUUUACAAUAUGAAUCUUAAUAAUAAUGGGACUGGAGAUGAGUCGGCUUUAGUUAGAAGGCGUCCCAAUAAUUCAGAGUUUUUUGAUCUUGAUGCUAAACUUGGUAAAAUUGGGAUUGGAGAGGUCAUGACUUUAAAUAGCAUUGAACCCACUAUCUCGGAUUUCAAGGAAUUUGAUUAUGAUAAUUGUUCUUUAGAAGGUUGUAUUUCCUUGUUGCAAUCCGUUGUUAAUUCUCCUCAUGCUUAUAGUCAAAAUAAAGCUUUUACCAAACAUAUCGUUGAUGCCUUAAUGCAAUCUUAUGAUGAAAAACUUAAUUUGGAAGUUUCUAUACCUAGAAAACUUAAUGAUGAGUGGGAACCUACUAUAAAUAUUAAAAUUAAAGAUCAUGAGUGUUUUGCUUUGUGUGAUUUGGGUGCUAGUGUUUCCACGAUUCUGAAAACUUUAUGUGAUAUUCUAGGUUUCCAUGAUCUUGAUGAUUGCUCUUUAAAUUUGCACCUUGCGGAUUCC